UGAUCAACGGGAGUGUUCAUCUGUUUCCACCGAUCCUUUGCAUCGUCGUUAAGACUUUAACAAGGUGUUGUUUACUCAGUUUAGUCAGUUCGUUGGAGGUCCUUGUUGGUUUGUUAGGGGUCGCAUAAUGGCGCAGGUGUUUGCUUGAACAGACUUCCGUGGUUUGAACCAGUAACGCCGGCGAGUCGCGGUGAUGAAUUUCAGUUGAGUGGACCUAGUUUGUGGAACAGCAGAUGUGCAGGUUUGUUCAAGUCGUUGAUAACGAGGUCGCAUAUGUGUGUGUGGGCUGCGUUUUGGAUCUUCAACGCUGGCCGGCCCCUUCCGUUUGUUAUUUUCUUUUAUUUAUUACCUUUUCAUUUUGGCUGGGAUGAGAUUCCUCUUUUGUAUUUUCCUUGGUAUCUUCAGUUUAAAUUUUCUUUGCAUAGUUUACACCAACGAGCUGCAGGUUGAGUGUAGGUGUUUCCUGGUAAAAGCUUGGAAGAAUUGAGAGAACUACAGGUUGAGUGUAGGUGUAGGUUGCUCUGAGCGGCAUGUGCUUCGUGGGGCUGGCUUGCUCGCAUCAGGCUGGGUCCGGCUGACGGUGUCAUCCGCCUUUUACAGGCUUCUUCCAAACUUUCUAAACACCCCCCUCCCUGAUUUCAAUGGGGCUGGGCCCGUGCCUCUACUAAUAACCAAUUAAAGACUGCCACAACACCCUGUAAUCCCCUCACCCCUGUAGCACCCUGUACGUGUAGCAAAGCUCCUUGCCCGGCUGUGCGUCGGGUCGGGUGAGGCAGCUGGUUGGCCUCUCAGUCGCAUGCGUCUGUUCGGUUCCCGUGCCCGGAUGUGCCCAGGUGUGCCGGCCUCCCUCCAUGCGCGCCGCCUUGCACGUUUGAGAGGCGUUUGCCAGGGCUCUUUGCCCACCCGCGCACGAGGAGCUUACAUGGCGCCGGCUCGGUUUGUGACCGUUGGGGCUGCCGUCGGGUGGGCCCUUGGGGUGUGGUCUGUCGGUUUUCUGGUGUAUUUUUUUUUGAAAAGGAGAAAUACCCUUGGCCUCUGCAUCAAUCGAUGCAUGCAGCCAUAUUAUUAAAUAAAAACAUAACAAGGUUAUAAGGUCCGAAGAUGCUCAUAAACUGAGCAGUAGUCGUAAGUAAAUAAAUCUGAAAACGCCACAUCGGGUGAUAUAGAACUGAAAAAGUGCCACAUCCGGUGAUAUAAAAAAAGCUAAGAUGCCUAUACACCUAGCCUAUUAUUAGCUCGCUAUUCAAAUCGGCCGAAAAUAGCCCAUGCUACAGUCUUCCAACGGUUGCACCCAAUAACCAAUAGCUCUCUGAACCCCAGUAAGAAACAUAUACGGAUCCAAGUUGUAGCUCUGUAGAUAGCAUGCAAAAAAUUGGUGAAUUGUAUCCCAUUAAAAUCAUAUCAUUUCUAGUGUUCCAUAUAGUCCAAAAUAAUGCACAUACUCCUAUCUGAAUAUGUUUAGCUAAGUAUACGUCCACUCCAUUAAGCCACGUCGCAAAUAACGUGUUUAUGCUCCUUGGAGGUUGAAUGUUAUAGGCUAUAUGAAUUGAUUGUCAUAAUAAUUGUGCAAGAGGAUAUUCGAGAAAGAGGUGUUUAAUCGUUUCAUUUUGAUCACACAAACAACACCUAGAGUUACCAACCCAAUUCCCUUUUGCCAAGUUAUCUUUGGUUAGAAUAACCUCUUUAUGGACAAACCACAUAAAUAUUUUAAUACAAAGCAAAACUUUAAUCUUCCAAAUGUGCAAUGACCUCGACAAUGGCCCAGAGUCAAUUAGUUCAGAAUACAUGGAUUUCACUGAGAAGAUUCCAUUCGUGGUUAACUCCCAGCGAAUUGUAUCCGCCUGAUCAGAUAGGUGGACCCCCAUCAAUCUAUGAACCAGGUGCAACCAAGCAUUCCAACGUUCCCCUACUAGGGAUCUCCUAAAUUGGAUAUUAAGUGGUAUCGAAUUUAAUACUGUGGCAACAUAAUCCUCCUUACGUUGCACAAUACUAUAUAAGCAUGAAUAUUGCAAAGCCAAAGGCAUCUCCCCUAACCAUGUAUCCUCCCAAAAUCGAGUAGUAUUACCAUUACCAAUUAGGAAUUUCACUCGUUGGAAGAAAGUUGCUUUCGUCCUCGUUAAUCCCUUCCAGAAUGGUGAGUCCGUUGGCCUAGCGAUGACUUGGGACAAAGUCUUAAGAGUGUAAAUAUUUAUUCCGCAAGAUUUGUAUCCACAUACCCUUAGUCUCAGUAGAUAUUUUGUAUAGCCACUUGCUAAGCAGACAUCUAUUUUUGACCUCUAAAUUUUCGAUCCCUAACCCGCCCAGGUCUUUUGGUCUACAAAUAAUAUCCCAUCUAGCCAAUCUAUACUUCUUCUUGGCCUCAUCACUUCGCCAAAAGAAUCGGGAUGUAUAAAAGUCAAGUCUUUUCCGUACCCCUACCGGUACCUCAAAGAAGAACAUCGGCAGGCUCGUCAAAAUUGAAUUUAUCAAAACCAACCAACCUCCGUAUGACAUGAGCUUGCCAUUCUAGCAGCUCAGUUUCUUUUCAAAUCGAUCUUCUAUACAUUUCCAUUCCUUGUUCAUUAAACAUCUAUAAUGAAUUGGGAUCCCUAGAUUACUAAAAGGUAAGGAUCCCAUUUCACAACCGAAUAAAUUUCUAUAAUCACGUUGUUCCUCUUUGGCUCUCCCAAAACAGAACAAUUCGCUUUUAUUGAAGUUGAUUUUGAGCCCAGAUAGUUGCUCAAAAAGACAGAAUACAAGCUUCAUAUUCCUAGCUCUUGCACGAUUAUGUUCCACGAACAUAAUAGUGUCAUUUGUGUAUUGUAGGAAGGAGACUCCCCCCCUCUACAAGGUGGGGGACGAGUCUUCCUACUUGGCCACUCUCUUUGGCCCGGCCAAUUAGGAUUGCCAACAUGUCCGCUACAAUGUUAAACAGCAUUGGAGACAUGAAAUCUCCCUGUUGUAACCCCUUACGUGUCUGAAAGUUUUUUCAUGUAUCGUCAUUGACUUUUAUUCUGACACUACCUUUCUGUAUGAAUGAAUCCACCUGAGAUCUCCAAGACUCAUUGAACCCCUUCAUACGUAAGGCUUGCUGCAAAAAGGAUCAUUUGACCUUAUCAUAUGCUUUUUCAAAAUCCACUUUGAAGAUAACACCAUCUAAUUUCUUUGUAUGGAUUUCAUGCAGUGUUUCACGUAAGACCACAACCCCUUCAUGGAUGUGUCGUCCUGGCAUGAAAGCGGUUUGUGUUGGUUGCACAACCGAAUGGGCUAUCUGUGUCAACCUGUUCGUGCAAACCUUUGUAAAAAUCUUAAAGCUUACAUUGAGAAGACAUAUCGAUCUGAAUUGCUCAAUGCGAAUAGCCUCAACCCUCUUUGGCAACAAUGUUAUUGUUCCAAAAUUGAGUUGAAAGAGGUUUAAGUGGCCAUCAAACAAAUCAAGAAACAUAGGCAUAAGAUCUCCCUUUAUGAUAUGCCAACAUUUUUGAUAAAAUUCCACCGGGAACCCAUCCGGCCCAAGGGCUUUAUUAUGCUUCAUUUGCGUUAUUGCAUCAAACACCUCUUUCUUAGUGAACAGAGCAGACAACAACUCAUUCUCUUCUAAGUUAAGCUGAGGUAUGUCCCCGAUCGAACUCUCAUCUAGAGCUACAAAACUUUCUUCUAGUGCUCCAAAAAGCUUCUUAUAAUAUCCAGAGAUGUACAAUUUUAGGUUCUCGUAUCCUACAAUUGUACCCACAUCUUGUUCGAGCUAUAUUAUCUAUGUUUCCCAUUAGCUAUCAUAUGAAAAAAAUUGUGUAUUAUCAUCUCCUUGGACAAUCUUAGACCCAUUUGCUCUAAGCGCCCAUUUCAUUCCUCCUCUCUCAUAAGGGCUUAUAACUUCUUCUCGGCCUCAUUCUUAAUAUCUCGCUCCGACAUAUUAAGAAGGGUGGAUUCCGCUUUCACACCAAGUUCAUUAAUAAUUUGUUUUAACCUCUCCUUUUCAACUUUGUAAAUACCACUUUGGUUUUUGGCGCAUCCCCUCAAGAAUUGGCGCUAAUGUCUAAUUUUGUUUUUCCAUAUUUCCACAUGAGAAGUCACACCAGACUCCCUGGCCCAUUCUGUGGCAAUAAGAUUUAGGAAGUCCUCCCUCUCGAACUAUCCUAGUUCGAAAGAGAACAUAUUUCUGUUACCCACAUGGGCCGAUUCCUCGGAAUCAACCAGCAAUGGGGAAUGGUCCGAAAUGGCCCUCUGUAGAGCACGAACCGUUACCAGUGAAAAUUUCUGUUCCCACUCAACACUAGUAAGGACCAUGUCCAAUUUCUCAUAGGUAGGAAUUGGUAAGGAAUUAGCCCACGUGAAUUGUCUACCAGAGAGUUCAAGCUCCCUCAAGUCGAGACUCUCAAUGAUCAUAUUGAACAUGAAUGACCACCUUCUAUUGAAAUUUUCAUUAUUUUUCUCAUCUUGUCUUCUAAUGAUGUUGAAAUCUCCUCCAACCAUAAUGGGCAGCCUUUCAUCCCCACAAAUUCUCACUAAAUCAGCAAGGAAGUCAGGCUUAGGUUCUGGCUGCGCCGCACCAUAUACGUCCACCAAAGCCCAUCUGAAGCCAUCAAUUUUCGAUCUCACUCAAAAUUUGACAGCAAAUUCACCGUGAAGCACAUUUAGCACUUCUAAAGUUUCACACUUCACCCCAAGUAGGAUCCCUCCGGAUCGCCCCCUUGGAGGAAGACAGUGCCAAUCAAAAUCAACCCCCCUGCAAUGGUGUUGAGAUAACCCGAGCUUAGUAAGCCCACACAUAGUAAGGUGCCCGGGAUUAUACACCAGAAAACCUUACUAAGCCUACACAUAGGGAUCCUAGCACAGAGCCUGACCUGAGAGCACUCACAGCCACCACACCAGUUUCUCUCUCUAGGCAUCAGCCAGCCCCAUGCCCCCACACCACCACCAUCACACGUGCCGACGUCGCCUGAGCUGAGCGCAACCUCUGGCCGGACGCCACCCACGCCCCCAAGGCGUUCCGCUCACUGCCCCUGACGGAAUGGCCUGAUCUGCCGCCCAGCACCUCCAGACUCUAGCUGCUCCAGGCUCCAUUGCUCAGCGAACUCCUCCACUAUCCCUGUCGCCUAGAGCAGAAAAUAGACCACACCCUCGCUGCUGAUGCCUUGACAUAUCGCUCUAGCUGCCUUUAGUGGCGGAGCUUCAUGAGGGCCAAAGGGGACCAUUGCCCCCUACUCUAGGAAAACUGUUACGUGUGCAUCUAAUUAUUAGGUUUGAAUAUCCAAGAUUUCUCAAGAGUUAUGCAUAACUUAUCUUCUUUGUCCCCUCAACUAUGACUAGCGCACCACCCAGGUGCCUACCUACUGAUCUGGAUUGAUUUUGUUGUCAAUUGGUUGAACUGAGCUUAAAUUGGUGCAUUUUAUCAUCAUUCAUAUGUAGAAAUAGGAGAUUGUGUGGGAUUGGGAAAGGGUUCUAGUUCCGCGUCGGCGAGUCCGUCGCUAGCUCUCUAGGCAGCUGGUGUGUCCUUGCUGCUGCUCAAGUGUUCUGCUGCGGUUUUUGAGCUUGCAGAGCGUCUGCUUCCUUUCUUUUAGUUUGCUUGUUUGUAUGGUGUAAGCUAGCUGUGUUCUAGGCACCUUGUAUCUUUCAGCCGUUGGUAUUUUCUUUCUGUUUCAGUUUGGUGUUGAUGUUAGCUGUAAUCCUAGCCGGUUCGUUAAUUCAAAGCCAGGUUUGCGUCAAGCCUUCUCUCUAAAAAAAGAUUGAGAUUGUGGAGGGAGAGUAAUGUAGGGUUCAGGAAGAAAAUGGAGUAUUAAUUACAAGGUCGCUCAAUAAGAUUCAAGAUGAGUAUCUUACCAAUGAUUUGUUAGUUAACAUAGAGCAAUAAAUUCAAUAAGAAGUGAAUGAUGCCUACUGAAGUAAUAUAGGGCUCAAGAUUUGAAAAUUUGGUGCUAGCUCUUAUUUAGAAUUGUGCUCUAGACUAGAGGUGUAGUAGGAUCUCUGCUAUUGCUCUCUCUUCCUGACACGACUACUUACCACUGAUAUUUGGUUGUUUUGGGGUUUCUCACAAUGGAUUUCCGGCGGCUGGAGGUCGUCAUCUUGGCUAUCAUGUUGCUGCUUGCCGUUCAGGGGCCGUCUGCUAUUGCGGCCGACACCCCCACUGUCCUGAAGCUGGAGCGGCACAACACAAUGCCCAGUGGAGUUGUCGAGCUCCCUGUGAAUGGUACGGGACAAUACAUGUUCCACGCGUAAGUUUUCUGACUCCUCCUUUGUUUUCAAAUUAAUCCAGGACGUGCAUAAGGCUAGAAGCCUUGCAUCACAAGUACCUAUAGUCCCUGUGGUUUCCAUUUCCCCGAGAGAUUCAAACGACCAACAUAGCGAAAUUUGGAAGCAACGUAAGCUGAUCAUGGCAAGAUCUCAUUGGUCCACUAAUUGAAGGUAGACUUACAUUAUGUCGACAUAAGAAUUCUCAUUGCCAUGUUAUAACAUUGUGCUUGUAAGAAUUGCCAGCUUUAUUACGCACAUGCAAGAAAGUCGCGUCGUAAUAAGGCUUAAUGUUCCUACAAAGUCAUGCCACGACCUAUCUGCAUCUCUGAAUUGUUGAAGAUUGAUGAGAUGUGCACAAUGAAAGUCCAUAUCAUCCAUGCAAAGGAUUCUGAUAGACCUGCCCAAAUUGGUGGGCGGGGUGUCGAAGGACGGUGUAAAGAAGCUACUACUAAAAUUGUGGAACCUUCUCGUUCUCGUCCUCAGCUCGUGAAAAUGCAAUUACGUAAUGCAAGUGUAGAGGAUUCUUAUUCUAGUCCUCAGCCCAUGGAAAUGCAAUCACCCUCAACGGAAAGACAUAUACGAGUUGAAACGGUUAACUCGAGUCCGGGCAACGAGGGUAUGACGAGUUCUUACUUCUCUGGUUCAUUUAGUUCAUGUUACUAGAGACACGGUCGUUCCUUUCAAAUCAUAUGUGGUAUCGUCAUCUUCCACAGCUAUAUUGAAUAGUUGUUUUGUUCUUUUCUUCGUGCAGGAGAUUCUUCGAUGUCAGAGGAUAGUGUCACUUUGACUGGUUGCAUCGGUGUGCAUUUGAGGCGCAUACCUUUAAUUCAGAAGAAGGUCGUGAAGCAGAAGGUCGACCUUAUUGGUUCUGAAAUUCCCAUCUGUGUGUUCGUGAUGCAGAAGACCAAUGUUACAGGAAGAUGCGCUCUAGUGAGAUCCAUAUUUUCUUAUAUAUUUUCCUUCGAAGCAAAUAUUUUAUUCUUCUGUGCAUAAUCUGCUAGUGCUACAGUAGUGCAUUUCUUAUGUUUUUUUAGAACUAGGUAGUGCAUUUGUUGCUAUGUGAGGGUGAUCGCAUACCAUCACAGGCCACUAGCCCAAAGCCACGAGAGGUGUCGCGCUGAGGCUAUUUAGGAGCAGCCUCUGCCUAGUGAUGUAACCAUGUUAGGUUUGCUAUUUCCUUCUGGAGUUUAGAUAUAUAUUUUCAUUUUGGUAGGUUUCUAAGCCCCCAAGUCGAUGCUUUUCAUCUAAUAAGAGUCUUGCACAUAGCUAUAUGAUGCCAUCCUAGACCCUAAUUCAUUAUCAACCAAGCAACAAUGUACCUCUUACCAGUCUAUUCUCCUAUCCUGAGAAUCGACGCUCCGGGCUGCGGUGGCUACAAACACUAUUGUGAAUGCUGCAGAUUCAUAACCUUUAGUUGAUUAUUUCACUUCCUUUGACAACUUGACUAGGAGUAAUAAUUUUCACAUCCUGAUUUGCUUGAACACCAUCAUCUGACAUUCUUCUUUUCCCUGUGUGUAACCAACCAGAGCAUCUCCAAGAGAUAUGUCCGCAGAUAUCUAGGGGACGAGGUGCGAAGCAUCUGGCUGGAGCGAGACGGGGAGAGGUGCCAAGUGACGCUGGGACGCGGGCCUCAGAACAACAGGGUUGUGGGUGGAUGGGUAAAGUUCGCCAAGGAGGACGGGCUGCGGACGGGCGAUGUCUGCCUCCUCGAGCGGCUGAGGCACUGCAAGGAGUGCACAAUGAAGGUCCGCAUCAUCCGCCGCGUAAAGCGUGCCGGUUGAUCAACAGUGUUCAUUCUGUUUCCACCGAUCCUUUGCAUCGUCGUCGUUAAGACUUUAAGAAGGUGUUUGCUGGAACAGAGUUUUGAGAUUUGAACCGGUAACGCCGGCGAGUCGCGGUGAUGAAUUUCAGUUGAGUGGACCUAGUUUGUGGAACAGCAGAUGUGCAGGUUUGUUCAAGUCGUUGAGAACGAGCU
rnacentral:lncRNA from 1 species